rnacentral:rRNA from 1 species
UACGUAGGUGGCGAGCGUUGUCCGGAUUUAUUGGGCGUAAAGCGCGCGCAGGCGGCGCCGCAAGUCCGGUGUGAAAGCGCCCGGCUCAACUGGGCGAGGUCAUUGGAGACUGCGGUGCUGGAGGGUGGCAGAGGCCGGUGGAAUUCCCGGUGUAGUGGUGAAAUGCGUAGAGAUCGGGGAGGAACACCAGUGGCGAAGGCGGCCGGCUGGGCCAUACCUGA